GAUGAAGAACGUAGCGAAAUGCGAUAAGUAGUGUGAAUUGCAGAAUUCCGUGAAUCAUCGAAUCUUUGAACGCACAUUGCGCCCCCUGGUAUUCCGGGGGGCAUGCCUGUCCGAGCGUCAUUGCUGCCCUCAAGCACGGCUUGUGUGUUGGGCCUCCGUCCUCCUCCCGGGGGACGGGCCCGAAAGGCAGCGGCGGCACCGCGUCCGGUCCUCGAGCGUAUGGGGCUUCGUCACCCGCUCUUGUAGGCCCGGCCGGCGCUUGCCGACACAUCAAUCUUUUUUCCAGGUUGACCUCGGAUCAGGUAGGGAUACCCGCUGAACUUAAGCAUAUCAAUAAGCGGAGGA
rnacentral:misc_RNA from 1 species